rnacentral:rRNA from 1 species
CCUACGGGAGGCAGCAGUGGGGAAUAUUGCACAAUGGGCGAAAGCCUGAUGCAGCAACGCCGCGUGAGGGAUGAAGGCCCUCGGGUCGUAAAGCUCUGUCCUCAAGGAAGAUAAUGACGGUACUUGAGGAGGAAGCCACGGCUAACUACGUGACAGCAGCCGCGGUAAUACGCAGGGGGCUAGGGUUAUACGGAAUUACUGGGCGUAAUGGGGGCGUAGGGGGUUUCUUAAGUCAGAGGUGAAAGGCUACGGCUAAACCGGAGUAAGCCUUUGAAACUGGGGAACUUGAGUGCAGGAGUGGAAGGUGGAAUUCCUGGUGUAGCGGUGAAAUGCGUAGAUAUUAGGCGGAACACCGGUUGCGAAGGCAGCUCUCUGGACUGUAACUGACACUGAGGCACGAAAGCGUGGGGAGCAAACAGGAUUAGAUACCCGGGUAGUC